CCUUAGGCAAAUCCGGGAUCACUUACGCCGAGCACCGAGACGAGUCCUAUGAGGACGAAGUGACUGACACCACGCUUCCAGGAAAAGCCACUAAGCUUCAGCUUAAGAAAAACCGUACCGCAAACCGACACAGGUAGGCAGGGUGAGAAUCCCAAGGCGCUUGAGAGAACUCGGGUGAAGGAACUAGGCAAAAUGGCACCGUAACUUCGGGAGAAGGUGCGCCCUUUGGUGUGGUCACGUGCGUGACUGAGCAUCGAAGGGUCGCAGUAACCUGGCCGCUGCGACUGUUUAUCAAAAACACAGCACUCUGCGAACACGAAAGUGGACGUAUAGGGUGUGACGCCUGCCCGGUGCUGGAAGGUUAAUUGAUGGGGUCAGCCGCAAGGCGAAGCUCUUGAUCGAAGCCCCAGUAAACGGCGGCCGUAACGAUAACGGUCCUAAGGUAGCGAAAUUCCUUGUCGGGUAAGUUCCGACCUGCACGAAUGGCGUAACGACAGCGGCGCUGUCUCCACCCGAGACUCAGUGAAAUUGAAAUCGCUGUGAAGAUGCAGCGUUCCCGCGGCAAGACGGAAAGACCCCGUGAACCCUUACUAUAGCUUUACACUGAACGUUGAGUUCUUCUGUGUAGGAUAGGUGGGAGGCUAUGAAACCAGGACGCUAGUUCUGGUGGAGCCAUCCUUGAAAUACCACCCUGAAGUGCUUGACGUUCUAACCUAGGCCCGUAAUCCGGGUCAGGGACCGUGUAUGGUGGGUAGUUUGACUGGGGCGGUCUCCUCCCAAAGAGUAACGGAGGAGCACGAAGGUACGCUCAGCGCGGUCGGACAUCGCGCACUGUGUGCAAAGGCAUAAGCGUGCUUGACUGCGAGAUCGACGGAUCAAGCAGGUACGAAAGUAGGUCUUAGUGAUCCGGUGGUUCUGUAUGGAAGGGCCAUCGCUCAACGGAUAAAAGGUACUCCGGGGAUAACAGGCUGAUACCGCCCAAGAGUUCAUAUCGACGGCGGUGUUUGGCACCUCGGUGUCGGCUCAUCACAUCCUGGGGCUGUAGCCGGUCCCAAGGGUAUGGCUGUUCGCCAUUUAAAGUGGUACGCGAGCUGGGUUCAGAACGUCGUGAGACAGUUCGGUCCCUAUCUGUCGUGGGCGUUGGAGAUUUGAGGGGGGCUGCUCCUAGUACGAGAGGACCGGAGUGGACGUUCCGCUGGUGUUCGGGUUGUCAUGCCCAUGGCAUUGCCCGGUAGCUACGAACGGAAGUGAUAACCGCUGAAAGCAUCUAAGCGGGAAGCUCCCCAAGAUGAGAUAUCCCGAGAGCUUGACUCUCCUAAAGGCACCAUCAAGACUAGGUGGUUGAUAGGUCAGGUGUGGAAGCGCAGCAAUGCGUUGAGCUAACUGAUACUAAUGAGCCGUGAGGCUUGAUC
rnacentral:rRNA from 1 species